CCUACGGGAGGCAGCAGUGAGGAAUAUUGGUCAAUGGGCGCUAGCCUGAACCAGCCAAGUAGCGUGAAGGAUGACUGCCCUAUGGGUUGUAAACUUCUUUUAUAUGGGAAUAAAGUGCAGUAUGUAUACUGCUUUGCAUGUACCUUAUGAAUAAGGAUCGGCUAACUCCGUGCCAGCAGCCGCGGUAAUACGGAGGAUUCGCGCGUUAUCCGGAUUUAUUGGGUUUAAAGGGAGCGUAGGCGGGUUGUUAAGUCAGUUGUGAAAGUUUGCGGCUCAACCGUAAAAUUGCAGUUGAUACUGGCAUCCUUGAGUACAGUAGAGGUAGGCGGAAUUCGGGGUGUAGCGGUGAAAUGCUUAGAUAUCACGAAGAACUCCGAUUGCGAAGGCAGCCUGAUGGACUGUAACUGACGCUGAUGCUCGAAAGGGGGGGGAUCAAACAGGAUUAGAUACCCCAUUAGUC
rnacentral:rRNA from 1 species